CGAGCACGCGCGUGUGGCAUAUCAAUAAGCGGAGGAAAAGAAACUAACAAGGAUUCCCUUAGUAACGGCGAGUGAAGCGGGAAGAGCUCAAAUUUGAAAUCUUCAAGGUUUUACCUUGACGAAUUGUAGUUUAAAGAAGUGUUUUCUGUUGGAGUUUUGGUAAAAGUUCUUUGGAAUAGGACAUCAUAGAGGGUGAGAAUCCCGUAUUUGACCAGUUAUUUCCAGCUGUGUGAUACACUUUCAAAGAGUCGGAUUGUUUGGGAAUGCAGUCCAAAGUGGGUGGUAAAUUUCAUCUAAAGCUAAAUAUUGGCGAGAGACCGAUAGCGAACAAGUACCGUGAGGGAAAGAUGAAAAGAACUUUGAAAAGAGAGUUAAACAGUACGUGAAAUUGUCAAAAGGGAAGCGUUUGACACCAGUGUUGUUUUCUCGAAAAUCAAUUAAAAAUGAUGGGAUUUUGUGUUGUAUUGACUUUAUCAGCUUUCUGCACUUUUUUCUUAUCUUUUUUAAUGCACUUUUCGUUUAACAAGUCAACAUCAAUUUCUUUUGUUGUAAAAGAGUCAUUGGAAGGUGGCUUUUUCUUCGGAAAAAGUGUUUAUAGCCUUUGGCUUCUGCAAUCGGAGAGAUUGAGGUCUGCAGCGUAGAUCCUUCGGGGUUAGAUACAUUUGUGCUAAGCUAUAGUUCUUUAUAGACAACUUGUUGACUAUAAUCAAUCCUGUAACUUACUCGCUUAUGCUAUUUUACCUACGCUUAGGAUGUUGAGCGCAUGUCUCUCUCU
rnacentral:rRNA from 1 species